GCUUGUCUCAAAGAUUAAGCCAUGCAUGUCUAAGUAUAAAUCUUUUACUUUGAAACUGCGAACGGCUCAUUAUAUCAGUUAUAGUUUAUUUGAUAGUCCCUUACUACUUGGAUAACCGUAGUAAUUCUAGAGCUAAUACAUGCGUCAAUACCCUUCUGGGGUAGUAUUUAUUAGAUUGAAACCUUCCCCUUUGGGUUGCGUGCCGAGUCACAAUAACUGCUCGAAUCGCAUGGCUUCACGCCGGCGAUGGUUCAUUCAAAUUUCUGCCCUAUCAGCUUUCGAUGGUAGGAUCGAGGCCUACCAUGGCGUUUACGGGUAACGGAGAAUUAGGGUUCGAUUCCGGAGAGGGAGCCUGAGAGAUGGCUACCACAUCCAAGGAAGGCAGCAGG
rnacentral:rRNA from 1 species